AAGUUUUUAUCCACGCAUAUAUAUAAGAAGAGAGAUCUCUCAUGGAUCCCUAAGCAACAUCAAUGGGUGAGAAAGUAGGUGGAUGGUCCACUUAAGUUGACAUAAAAAUUUCUCUUUAUAUAUACUCUCUCUCUCUCUCUCUCUAUAUAUAUAUAUAUAUAUAUAACAUAGGCAGCGGAAAUUAGCAAAACAGAAGAAUGGCGAUUCUGAUCAAACCUUCCACUCUUCCUGUGAACAUGACCUGGAGCGUUUUCAUUCACAGUGCAAUAAACAAAAUUAGGAAAUAAAAAACUAAAAUUUUAGAGGAUGUCACUGACAUGACCAGUAUUUUUUUUUUUUGACUAGGUCUCCGAGACAAAAUAGUUUCUACAAAAGAGACGGAUGAGUCCAAUAUCACUAGAUAACAUUGAAUAGAAUUUGUAGGUUAAGGAGGUGAAAAGUAACUGAUAGAAAGUAGACAUGAUUGAGUGAUUGAAAUGAUGCAUUCACAUCCAUAGGUUAUUAAUGACUGAAUUGUCAUCGGUGCAUUAUAGCUAAGGCAUAAUGUGGUUGAUUAAUGAUUGAAUCAUUUUCUUCAGAGUAUCACUUGUUAAUACAGAACAAGUGUAGAAGCAUAAUCUUCAGUCUAAGUCGCACUUCACAUAUCAUCAAAAUGAUGCAUUCUCAUGCAUCAGCGUUGAAUAUACAUAUUGCUUGGAUGAGAGGAGAAAUUGAUAACUCAAAAGCAUGCAGAUUAUAUAAUAAAGAGUUGUUUAAAUAUAAUUUAUUUCACCAAUACAUUAAUAAGCCUAAAAUUUAAGAUCUAAAUCUCGGGUCAUGGAAACAGGUUUCAGAUCCACUAAUUGAAGGCUGGAACUGUUUUACUGGCCUGAGUAAAUAGAUAUUAGGAUCCACUUUCAGCUUAGAUGGUUUUAGCUAUGUCCAUAGCUGUACUCUUAUCUUUAAAAAUUAUUUAAAUGAUGUUUGUAUCCAUAUCCGUAUCUACAUAGAUAUGGAUAUUUAAUAUAGGUAUUCGUAGCCUGCCAGAUACAGAUAGAUACGAAUUCACUAGUGUCCAUUUUAUUUUGCAUCAUAAUUUAAAUAUACAAAGCAUCAUUAGAAGAAUACUUAUGAAAGAUCACAUUAACCCCUACAGAAGGAGUUACUUUGGGGAGAUAUGACUUUUUGAAAUUAAAGACUUUCUUCAGCCAACCACCAGACGGCUACGAGGGAGGAUUAGCUCUUCUAGAAAAGCAUGGAUCUGGUAAAAUAUCCUGAUAUUUAUGCAUAGAGAGAUGAAAAAGUACAAUUAGAAAAUGUUAGCCACUUGGAACAUAGAUUAAUUACUCGAAAUAGAUCUAAAGAACUUAAUUAAAAACAACUAAGAGAGCAUUAAAAGAUUAGGGGACAUAUCACUGUCAUUUGUACUUUAUUAGAAAGUAACUUGAUCUCGGCAUUAAUAUGAGUAGCAGGGUCUACCAUAAGCAUUUAAUUUACUCGUAUUCAGUCUGUCUCUCCUGAGUUGCUAAAAUGUCGAGAUUUAGAGCUUGCUGUACCCGGAACAUACGCUGCAGGUACCUUUUCGCUUAACUAGAAUGCUCGUGAAGGCUAUGGAAGUUAGUGGUAUUGAAGGUAAUUUCAGGUCGAACUGUGAAAAUGUGAUGCAAGUUCUGCGGACCAAUAAGGAUAGCGUCAUGGCUAUGAUGGAGGCUUUCGUACACGAUCCUCUUAUCAAUUGGAUACUGUUCAAUUUUAAUGAAGUUCCUCAAAUAGCGGAACUAUGGAAACUCUCAUGUUCAUCACGUUGUGAACAGUGAGGAAUUUGCACCUAAUGGAGAUCUCCCUCAACCUCUGCGUGGUGCUCGGGAGAGAGAACUGCUGCAGGCUGUCAAUCAACUUGGUGAUGCUAAUGAGGUUUUAAAUGAACAAGCGGUGGUGGUUAUGGCACGGAUGAGCAGUAAGCUGACUGGACGGACUUUUCUUCUGGAACAUCAGUGUCAGGGGUUGCCAGUUCAAUCCAGCAUACUGAUCACCAUAGUGCCUUGAUUUCUGGGGAUACUCGUGACGUUGAUCAUGGUCUAUCUGUGAAACUUCAGGUUCAGAAGUUAAUUUUACAAGCCACAUCCCAUGAAAAUUUGUGUCAAAACUAUGUCGGAGAGAAUAAAAGAGGGAUCGAAUUGGGGAAAAUUGGGAAUUAGGGUUUAUGACAUCGGGCCAUUGGAAGAGAAGAAACUAUGUCAUCGGCAUCAAGUUCGAGCUUUCAUUCAAGCUCUCGUUCUAAAGCAAGCAGGGUGAGUGGAAAAUUGGGAUCGCAUGUAAGUAAUAAUCAUGGUUUGAAUUCUUUGGCAGGUAUUAGAAGGUGGAACGAGGAAGCAAGGGCGGUUGGCAUGAAAAUCUGUAAGUGUAGAAUGGAUUAUGGGUAUUAUACAUCAUUUACAGAUGAAAAUCCUGGGAGAAGGUUUUAUAAAUGUCAAAAUCCUAAUGGUGGCUGUGGAAUGUGGGAAUGGUUCGAUAGACCUCUCUGCAAUGUGUCUUCUACUCUAUUUCCUAUUCUACGAGAUGAAAUACUUAACUUGAGGAGUGACUUGAAGCUCAGGGAUAGGCAGAUUCAAAGAGUUGAGGCCGAAGUGAAGGAUUGCCAUGUUGAAAAUGCCAAUUUCAGAGACCAGCUCCAGGUUUUAUACGAUGAGAACGCUUGCUCUUUGGAAGAAAUAUCAAAAUUGAGAGAUGAGAGUU